GAUCAAUAACUUAUCACAAUAAAAUCCUCUCUUACCUUAAAAAUGUUCCAUCCAAUCAUACUUUGUUGUCUUUUACUAUCUUUCUCCUACGUUUCUCCUUCAAAUGGCAAUAAUAAGCAAGUGCAGUGUAUUGACCAUGAGAGAGAAGCAUUGUUAAAAUUUAAACAGGGCAUUCUAGUUGACAACUGCGGACUGUUGUCUUCAUGGGGAGACCAUGAUCAUAACCGAGACUGUUGUCAAUGGGAUCACGUCCGUUGCCACUAUAAAACUGGUAAUGUUGUAAUGCUCAACCUUCGAGGAGUUGAUUCGUUUACGAAAUGUCUAAUAGGUAAUCUUAGUUCUUCCCUUGUUAGUUUGAAGCAUUUAUAUUACUUGGAUCUCAGCAACAAUAAUUUUGUUCCUUAUAAUGAUAUUAUUCUCAACCCAAGUAUAAAAAAACUUGAAAUAAAGCCCAUCCCAAGUUUUAUAGGUUCCUUUGAGAAGUUGGAGUACCUUUAUCUUUCCAACACUGGGUUUAUAGGAGAAAUUCCUCACCAAAUUGGAAAUCUUUCCCAGUUAAGUUAUCUUGAUCUCGCUAGUGACGAGAUUAUCUCUAAUGUCAGUGUCUUCCAUUGGAAUUUUUUGACGUCGUAUGUCGAAAACUUGUCAUGGCUUUCAAAUUUAACUUCGUUGAGAUACAUCAACUUGAGACAAGUUUAUCUCGGACAUUCAACAGAUUGGCUCCAAGUCAUAAACAACCUCCCAUUCUUAAGCUACCUUAACUUAAAUUGGUGUUGGCUUCCCUCACCAGUUUUGUCGCCUUCAAAAUUAUCAUUCGAGAAUUCUACAACCACUCUCUCAUUUCUAGAUCUUUCUACUAAUAACUUGGAUGAAUCCAUAUUCCCGUGGUUGUUCAAUUUGAGUGGAAUUAACACUUACCUUACAUAUCUUUCUCUAUCUGGUAAUCACAUUAAAGGUUCCCUUCCAGAUGCAAUUGGAAAUUUGAAGUCCCUUACAUAUCUCUCUCUCGCGAGAAAUAGAUUUGAGGGUUCAAUUCCUGUCAAUCUUUCAAACCUAAAGACUCUCACGCAUCUUGAUCUCUCAUAUAAUAAUUUCCAAUCCUUGUCAAAAAAGUUCUUAAAAGAUUCCUGUAGCUUACAAUUUCUCGACUUGUCCUACAAUAAUUUCACUGAUGAGCUCCCUAACCUAAUACAGUCAAUAAAUGGAUGUGCAGCCAAGUCAUUGUUGUAUUUAGAUUUGAAUUCUAAUCAAAUUUGGGGUUCAAUUCCGGACACAAUCGACACCUUUUCUUCAUUGACUUAUUUACAUCUUGGUUCGAACCGACUGAAUGGAACGGUCAGUCCAAGUCUAGGGCAACUCUCUAUGCUAGAGACGUUAAUUCUUUAUUCUAAUUCUCUAAAAGGUACUCUCUCUAAUAUCCACUUCUCUAAUCUGUCAAGAUUAAAGGUGUUAAUAUUGUUUAAUAACACAAAAUUAGCGUUCAAUUUUGAUUCCAAUUGGGUCCCUGCAUUUCAGCUCCAAAAGAUCGAAUUAAGCAAUUGCAAAUUGGGGCCAUCAUUUCCAAAAUGGCUUGUUAGCCUAAAAAAUUAUUCAUUUCUUGAUAUCUCUAAUGCUGGAAUUUCAGACAGUAUUCCAAAAUCUUUUUGGAGCUCAUCAUCGAUGGUGGGUUAUCUUAAUAUGUCUCACAAUAAUAUUUAUGGGACACUUCCAGACCUACAAAGACUACCAGCCAGCUCUGAUAGCAACUAUAUUAUUCAAGUCAACCAAUGCAUAAUAGAUAUGAGCUUUAACAAUAUUGAAGGUGCAAUACCCUCAUUUCCACCAAACCUUACUCGCUUAUUCUUGAAUAACAACAAGUUUUCUGACCCCCACUCCUUGCUAUGUCCUAAAGAUAAAUCAAUACUAUUGGAGCUUGACCUUUCAAACAAUUUAUUGACUGGGGAACUUUCAGAUUGCUGGAAUAACUUUGAAAAUUUAAGACAUCUGCAGUUGGAAAAUAAUAAUUUUUCAGGUGCUAUACCAGCUUCUGUUGGUAACUUGAGUAAUCUUGUACUGUUGCAUUUCCGCAACAAUAAUUUCUCUGGGCAACUGCCAAAAGCCUUAGGGAACUGCACAUCCUUGGUUACUUUGGAUAUUGGUCAUAAUUCAUUGACUGGGCACAUACCAUCAUGGAUUGGAAACAAUUUGACAAGGCUUGCUUAUCUUGGCCUACGAAGUAAUCAUUUCAUUGGAGGCAUACCUUUAAGCAUUUGUCAAUUGUCUUUCCUCCAGAUUUUGGAUCUUUCAACCAACCACAUCAAUGGUAAAAUUCCAAAAUGCAUACAUAAUCUUACGGGGAUGAAGAAUAGGACAGAUUUAUCGGCACCAUUGAAAUAUCAUCAACUAUAUGAGACCCUUGACAAUGCAACAAUCAUGUGGAAAAGAAAAGAGUGGAGUUUUAGGAAUUGUUUGGGACUGGUCAAAGCUAUCGAUAUUUCGAAUAAUAAGCUAGAAGGAGAGAUUCCCAUUGAAAUUUCUUUUCUAAAAGGUCUCGUCUCCUUGGACUUGUCAAGAAAUGAUCUGGUUGGAAGUAUUACGCCAACAAUCGGAGAGUUGACAGCUUUGGAAGUUCUUGAACUGUCAAACAAUCAUUUUUCCGGUGAGAUCCCAACUAGCUUUGCAUCUUUGAAUUCUUUGGCCAUCUUAAACUUGGCCAACAACCACUUGUCUGGAAAAAUUCCCAGUGGUACUCAGCUUCAAGGCUUUGAUGCUUCAGUAUUUGCGGGGAAUCCCGCGCUCUGUGGAUCGCCACUCCCAAAAUGUCCCGGGGAUCAACCAGCUGAUAAUAAUAGUCCAGCGCGUGAAGAUGAUUUUCUUCUGGGGUUGUACAUAAGUGUGACGCUCGGAUUUAUUUUUGGAUUUUGGGGAGUUUGUGGAAGUUUAGUGCUAAAAACAUCUUGGAGACAUGCAUUUUUCCAAUUCUUUGAUGAUAUGAGAGACAAGCUCCGUGUCAUGGUUUCCGUGAAAAAAGCCAGAGUUCAGAGGAGAUUAUUGUGAAGUUGCAGAGGAAGUCAGGACUACAAGACGACACAAAGAUCUUUCGUUUUGCCUCGUAGGACAUCUUAUACAGUGCAUUGAGCUAGGUGCUGGAAUCGAUCUCUGGUUGCUACUAUUGAGAAUUUCAGUUCUUGUGAACAAUGUGUACUUAGCAUGUGUAUCAUUGUUGCUACUAUAGUGGGAAUUCAAGUUGUAAUGCCUAAAGAGUAAAGACUCUUAUAUAUUAUAGUAUUAUGUAGUAAUAAUUAUUAAUUAGUAUAAGACUUGAACCGAACACUUUGACAGAUAUUGUAAUCUGGGUUUUAUAGUA